GAUGAAGAACGUAGCGAAAUGCGAUAAGUAGUGUGAAUUGCAGAAUUCAGUGAAUCAUCGAAUCUUUGAACGCACAUUGCGCCCUUUGGUAUUCCUUAGGGCAUGCCUGUUCGAGCGUCAUUUAAACCUUCAAGCUCAGCUUGGUGUUGGGUGACUGUCCGCCGCCUCCGGGCGGUCGGACUCGCCUCAAAUUGAUUGGCGGCCGGUACUUUGGCUUCGAGCGCAGCAGAAACGCGAACUCGAGGCCGUCGUCCUGGCUCCAGAAGCUAUCUUCACAAUUUUGACCUCGGAUCAGGUAGGGAUACCCGCUGAACUUAAGCAUAUCAAUAAGCGGAGGA
rnacentral:misc_RNA from 1 species